rnacentral:rRNA from 1 species
AUGGUUAUUGCAGCCCAGAAAAAUAAUCUCAUCAAAGGGCUGGCUUUUGGACUGACCGAGGAAGGGGUGGGCAUCCUACAAUACGCUGACGAUACUGUCUUGUGUUUUGAACAUGAUAUUGAAAAAGCUGUCAAUAUUAAGCUGGUGCUUUAUCUCUUUGAGCUCAUGUCGGGGUUGAAAAUCAACUAUGAUAAAAGUGAAGUAUUUGUUAUCGGAGGAGAUAAUGAAACGGACAGGAUCUAUGCAGAGAUGUUUGGCUGUCGGGUGGGUACCUUACCCAUGAGAUACUUGGGAGUGCCAGUUACAUAUUCCGCUCUUAAAAAUAUUGAGUUGGACUUCCUGGAUGGUAAAUUGAUCAAAAAACUGGAUGCGUGGGCAGCAUAUGCAGCUUCAUGUGGAGCUAGGCUUACCCUGCUAGGUUCUAGUCUGGAUGGUAUUCCAUCGUAUCUGAUGUCCAUGUUACUUUUCAACAAAACCUUUGUUGAAAAAAUUAAUAAACACCGCAGAUGUUUCUUUUGGAGGAAAAAGAAUAAGAAGCGAGCUUAUCAUAUGGUCAAAUGGACUAGGGUUUGUCGGUCUAAAAGAAUCGGUGGCCUGGGUUUGAAAGAUAUCCACAGGCAGAACAUUAGUCUCCUUGUGAAAUGGUGGUGGAAGUUAGAAACUGGUGAUGGGUUAUGGCAACGUAUUGUUCGAGCGAAGUAUUUCAGAAAUAAAACCGUUGCGAAUAUUCGCAGUCGUUUUUCUGACUCCCCUUGCUGGAAAUCUAUCAUGAAGGUCAAAGAGGUUUAUAUGGCUGGGAGGAAAGUCAACAUUAAUAAAGGAAAUUUGGCCAGGUUUUGGCAUGACCCGUGGAUUGAUAACUGCAUACUGCGGGAUCGGUUCCCUGUCCUGUACGACAUCUGUCAAAACCAAAAGUGCACCAUUGCAUCCUUCGUGGCCAAUAACUACGAGCUUGCUUUUAGAUGUAGGUUGUUUGGUGAAUUAGAGGAGCAAUGGUCCUGGGUGGUGUGCGAGGCUAAGAAGAAGGUUGUGAAUGAAAACUCAGAUACUAUCUCCUGGUCUCUGAAUAGUGGGGGCAAAUUUACUACUAAAUCGGUCUAUGAGUGGCUGGAGAGAGAUUUAUCUGGACCUAGUUAUAAAAUGAUAUGGAAAGUUGCGAUCCCCUUGAAAAUAAUUUUUUCCUAUGGCAACUGUUUCAAAAUGUUGUGCCUAUGCGCGAUAACAUGCGGCGUAGAAAUUGGCCAGGAAAUCCUGUGUGCUCCUUCUGCACAAAUGUGGAAACUGCUAAUCACCUCUUUUUUACCUGUCCUCUCGCCCGUACGGUUUGGGGCGUAUUGGGGUUGA